GCCCGUGAGAAGAAGAAAGCCCAUUGUUUUGUCGGGUCGGGUCGGGUAACUAAUAAGGGGCGUCUUUUUCACAUUGAGAGGAAGAAAAUUGAAAUUUGUCUGGACGCCCAGAGUGUGUCAGAUCUGCGAGAUUUCACUGAGAAGGAUAAUGUGAAAGGGAGAUCAUGGCAGAGGAAAUGGAGAUAUCCGCUGUUUCUGCAGGAGGAGGAGGAGGCAAGCACAGGAUCCUCGCCGAACUCGCCCGCGUCGAGCAGGAACUCGCCUUCUUGGAGAAAGAGUUGGAAGAGCUUGAGCAGACAGAUAUGGUGUCAACUGUGUGUGAGGAGUAAGUGAGAAUUGUUGUUCAGUGCCAUUGAGGCCAUCCCUGACCCUUUGCUGCCGCUAACAAAUGGCCCUUUCAACAUGGCGUGGGACCGAUGGUUUGAAGGACCCAAUGGAGCACAAGGCUGCCGAUGCCUCAUCCUUUGAUCCUACAAACUCAUCUUCAACAUAUAUAUUUCUGUCUUCAUGAGGUAUUGAGAGAUUAUCACACGUGAUUCUUUCAACUUGUCUUGAUCCCAUUAAAAUGUAAAGAUGCUCUUGUAUUCUGAUUACUUGACAUUUACUUAUAGUUACAAAGGGCAAUGGGGAGUACGGUCUUGUUUUCUGAGUU